rnacentral:rRNA from 1 species
CAUUUAUGGAGAGUUUGAUCCUGGCUCAGAGUGAACGCUGGCGGCGUGCCUAACACAUGCAAGUCGAACGAGAACGG